rnacentral:tRNA from 1 species
GCCGGUUUGGCUCAGUGGAUAGAGCGUUGGCCUGCGGACUCAAGGGUUGCAGGUUCGAUUCUGGUCAAUGGCG